CCAAGAUCAGGAGCAUCUUCUACGAGGAGGGCGACCAGAACGAGGACCAGGAGAUGUCGCUCUAUCUGGAAGGUUGGUUAGGUUGUGGGAGGCGAGGCUACGUUGGCUAGGUUAGGUUAAGCUACGUUGGCUAGGUUAGGUUAAGCUAGGUUGGCUAGGUUAGGUGAGGUUAGGUUAAGCUACGUUGGCUAGGUUAGGUUAAGCUACGUUGGCUAGGUUACUAAGGUUAGGUUAAGCUACGUUGGCUAGGUUACUAAGGUUAGGUUAAGCUACGUUGGCUAGGUUAGGUGAGGUUAGGUUAAGCUACGUUGGGUUUGGCUAGGUUAGUUAAGGCUUCAUUAUGUAAGGUAUUGUGUUAGAUUUGACCAACUUAGGUAAGGCUACAUUGGUUAGAUUAGACUAGGCUACAUUGGGUACAAGUUAGGUUAGGUAAGGCUACAUUGGGUACAAGUUACGUUAGGUUAAGCUACGUUGGAUUUGGCUAGGUUAGUUAAGGCUUCAUUGUGUUAGGUAUUGUGUUAGAUUUGGCCAAGUUAGGUAAAGCUACAUUUGGUUAGAUUAGACUAGGCUACAUUGGGUACAAGUUAGGUUAGGUUAAGCUACAUUGGGUUAGGUAAGGUUAGGCAUAUAUUGGGGCCAGGUUAGGUUAGGUUUCAUUGGUUAGGUUAGGUAAGGCUACACUGGUUUAUUUUAGGCUACGUUGGGUUGGGCAAGACUAGUUUAGGUUAGGUAAGGCUACACUGGUAUAUUUUAGGCUACGUUGGGUUGGGCAAGACUAGGUUAGGUUAGGUAAGGCUACACUGGUAUAUUUUAGGCUACGUUGGGUUGGGCAAGAUUAGGUUAGGUUAGGUAAGGCUACACUGGUAUAUUUUAGGCUACGUUGGUUUGGGUUAGGCAAGGUGGGGUUUGGUUCUGUUAGACUAAGACUAAAUUUAAAUGGAUCACCUGAGUUUAGGCUUGGUUGAGGUACGUUGGGUUAUGGUAGGCUGAGUGCUUAUGCUGAUAUUAGAUUGUACCAAGUCAUUAAACAAGAUAACUGAUUAGGGAUUAUAAUUAGAUAAGGUUUGAUAGUUAACUUUGAGGUUAGUUAUUAAUGAAGGAAAUUAGUUUUUUUAAGUGAUUGAACUGGUAAUAGAUCAUACGAUGUUUUCAGUUCCUUUAUUUCGUUUGUAAGGGAUGUUUGGUUUAGAACUUUUAGUGAAAAAUAGUUUAUACAUAGAGAUGGAGCUUAUGACAAUAUUAUCCUAGUUAUCACUUGGUUAGCUUAACAGUUAGAUUUAGAGGAGCAGUGAAACUUAUGGCAAAGGACUCAGAGGCUCUUUCAUGCAAUUAGGUUGUCUCAAGGAUCUUAAUUAACUUGCAACCGUGGUAAUGAUAAUUCUGGGGUAUCUUCUUGUUUUGGUAAUGGAACCUAUGACAAAGGAAUUUUAGUUUUCAAUAGCUCUUUCAUGCUAUUAGAUUAGAAAAAAUAUACUCGUGGUUGUCUUAGGCAUCUUAACUUGCAACCGAGGUAGUGAUGAUUCUGUGGUUUCUUCCCGUUUUGGCUACACUGUUUUUAGGUGGAGUCUUGGGUGCUUCGUAUGUGGAGGGUUGUGGGUGUUGUUGUCUGUCCGUCUGUCUGUCUGUCUGUCACUGCAUGUGGGUGUUACGGUAGUCUAUCUUAGCUGUGUGUGUGUGUGUGUGUGUGUGUGUGAUUUUUCUUCCGUGUAAGGGUUCGACAAGGCCUCAACCCACAUGACAGAGAGAGAGAGAGAGAGAGAGAGAGAGAGAGAGAGAAUGAUUAGAGAUAUAUUCAAAGGGAGAGAAGAAGGGAGGGGGGAGACUUAAGCAAACAAGAGAAGGGAAAACGGGAAAAACCAACAAGCUACGAGGGACGGUUGGUAACGGUGUUCAUCAGUGACGUAGUGAUGACGUAACGAUGACCGAGGAAUGACGUCACACACCCUACACUUACCGCAUGGACUGAAGAACAAUAGUAACAGUGCAUAGGGGCGACUGGGAGAGAGAGAGAGAGUGAGAGAGUCGAGGUAACGAGGAGGAGGAGGAGGAGGAGGAUGUGCUGACGCCCCUCCUCCUUUCCCUCCUCCUCCUCCUUGGUGAGUGACUUGACCCUACAACGUGACCUCAAAUGACCUGACUCAGCGUAUUGCAAGGUGAGUAAGGAGGACCUACUUUCUUCCUCCUCCUCCUACUCCUCCUACUCCUCCUCUACGUGUGUUUAGGUGAGUUCGUGUUACCUGGUGUUACCUCUCCCUCCCUCCCUCUCACCUGCCUCUCACCUGCGCUGCCAGAGGGAGAGGUGGAGGUAAGUGCAUGGCGGUGGUGGUGGUGGUGGUGGUUUUGCAUGUUGUAUUUUUAUUUUGCUAAUCAUUGUUUUAACGCUUCUUGUAUGUCUUUAUUUUUUGUAUGUUUAGAAUUGUUUGUUUUCUUAUUUGCUGUUUUGUCUGUGUAUCAUUGUUUUGUUUUUCUCCCCCCUCCUUUCUGUUUACUUUUGUUUUUGUUUUGUUUUGUUGUUGUUUUCUUAGCCUUCAUUGGGAUGCAGGAAAUAAUAAUAAUAAUAAUAAUAAUAAUAAUUUAACUGUGAAGGGGUUUAGUAUAUCAUUGUUGUUUUAGCCGGUGUGUGUGUGUGUGUGUGUGUGUGUGUGUGUGUGUGUGUGUGUGUGUGUGUGUGUGUGUGUGUGUGUGUAUAUCUACCUGUGUGUGUGUGUGUGUGUGUGUGUGUGUGUGUGUGUGUGUGUGUGUGUGUGUGUGUAUCUAUCUACCUGUGUGUGUGUUUCUGUAUGUCUCUCUCUGUCUACCUGUGUGUGUGUGUGUGUGUGUGUGAAUCAGCCGGAAACACACCUGAGUUAAGCGCCAUCUGGUUACCUGUGCAAGGGGGGGGGGGGAGAAAGGGAGAGGGAGAGAGGGAGGGACAGAGGAAGAAGAGAGAGGGAGAGUGAAGGGAGGGAACCUGCUGAUUGCAAAGGUCUCCUCUUCCUGUCUCUCCCUCCUUCCUUCCCUCUCCCUUUCUCUCCCUCCUUCCUUCCCUCUCCCUUUCCCUCCUUCCUUCCCUCUCCCUUUCUCUCCCUCCUUCCUUCCCUCUCCCUUUCCCUCUCCCUUUCUCUCCCUCCUUCCUUCCCUCUCCCUUUCUCUCCCUCCUUCCUUCCCUCUCCCUUUCCCUCCUUCCUUCCC